GACGAACCGUGCAAACGUUACUCGGAAUCACUGGGCUUAAAGCGCACGUAGGCGGCGGCGUAAGUCAGAGGUGAAAUCCCAUCGGCUCAACCGUGGAAUUGCCUCUGAUACUGCGUUGCUGGAGGGGGGACGGGGCAUCUGGAACUUCCGGUGGAGCGGUGAAAUGUGUUGAUAUCGGAAGGAACGCCGGUGGCGAAAGCGAGAUGCUGGGUCCUUUCUGACGCUGAGGUGCGAAAGCUAGGGUAGCGAACGGG
rnacentral:rRNA from 1 species